GGCUGGUUGGUGAAGUGGCCUAACACACUGGUUUUAGGAAGCCACGUCUGACCAAGACGAUGAUUUACCCCACCAGGAUUCCUGGGUUCGAAUCCCAGACUAGUCA
rnacentral:tRNA from 1 species